AUGUGGAUGCGGCUGGUCCUCAGUGCACAGCUGAGUAGCACGACCUCACUGCCAUCAGCUGGGAGCUGGACAGCGUGCUGAUGCCUAGUCCAGAACCUGGCCCAGGCAGGCCUGCCUCUGCCAGGAGUGAGGGUAACACUGCCUCACUCUGGGAUGUCUCAGAUGGGCAGGAUGUGCAUGCCCAUGCCACAGUAACCAGAACCUGUGGGUCUGUGCUGAGCUCUGCCAUCUACACCCAGGGCUGUGGUUGUCGGGGCUCAGGGAGUGCAGCUGCUGGAUUGGAUUCUUCUAACGCAGACACACUCUACAUCCUUUUUGCUCAUGUGCAGUUAGUAGACUUUCUCCUAUUUUUAUUCAAAUGGGAUGUUGGGCUGAGAGUGGGGUUGGGAAUUGUGGGAGUGCCCCUCCAUUCUCCUCACAGCCUUCCUGUUUGCACUAACAGGUCUGCCACAAACCGUGCCUGUCAGUCCUCAGGACGAUGCAGGCAGGAGGUGUGGCAGGAGGAGGAGAAGUCAAUUUGCAAGGCCUGUGAGAGUAGAGAGGGCAGCUUGGGUUGCUCCCUCAGUGCCCACCAGUCUGGUUCCCAUGGCCCUAACUAGCCCUGUCUCCUUGCCCACAGCCUUGUGCUCCCCAGCCCCCUCCACCAUGCGGAUGGCUGCUAUGACAUCCCCAUUUCUACAAGUGUGGGGUUCCUCGCUGCCUUCUCCUCCGUAACUGGCACCCUGUGCCAACCUGCUGCAGAGAACAACGUCUUGGGCAAUAGCAAUAAUCCUCCAGUUCACCAGCAGUAGAUAUGGUUCUCAAUGGG